UAAUAAUAAGAAAAAGAAGAACAAUUGUAAUAAUAUUAAUAACAAUUAUAAAAAUAAUAAUAAUA
rnacentral:rRNA from 1 species